ACCAGAGCCAACAGAGCAACGCCCAGGCCCCAGGCACACACUACACGAACCAGGCAACCAGCUGGGAGGAACCCUAGCGGAACACUGUGCAGGUGACAGCGGCGCGCUACCGGUGACGGGGGAUACGGCGGCAUCGUCCCCCUCGGUCCCUCCUCCAUCCCCCGCGCGGCGGCGCCAGCAGCCGGCCUGCAGAACCAUAGCAACACUUUGGUGCGCUUAAGAUGUCCAUCCUCCGAUCCUUUCUCCCAAUAGUAGCAAGAUCAAAUGGUUGGAGAUGCUUUUCUACUGGGAUUCCUUCUGAUAUGAUAGCGGACCUUAAUAAGGAAAUGGAGUCAAUAUUUGGCGAACCUCCAUCAUCCAGUCCUUUGGGCUCAAGUCCGUCCCCCCAGCAGCCAGUGGAGGAUUCACCACUAGUGCUUACCCAUACUGAUAGCAGCGGACAGGCCAAUAUGGUUGACGUCUCUCCCAAAGAAGACAGUAAGAGAGUCGCUAUAGCUAGCUGCAGGGUUUUGCUAGGCCAAAAGGUGUUCAAUUUGGUGGCAUCUAACGAGAUUUCGAAAGGUGAUGUCCUUACUGUUGCAAAGAUUGCUGGAAUAACUGGUGCAAAGCAAACCAGCAAUCUUAUACCCUUGUGCCACAACAUUAAUCUUUCACAUGUUCGUGUUGAUCUCACUCUAAAUGAAGAGGACUCUAGUGUCGUGAUAGAAGGGGAAGCCACAACCAGCGGAAAGACGGGGGUUGAGAUGGAAGCAUUGAGUGCUGUAGCCAUUGCUGGCCUUACAGUUUAUGACAUGUGCAAAGCUGCUUCAAAGGACAUUUGUAUAACAGAUGUCUGUCUCCAACAUAAGUCUGGAGGGAAGAGCGGAAGCUGGGCCAGGAAUUAAAAGGUUAAAUUGUUGCUCUGAGGAUAUGAACUGCAAGCAUGAUUCCGGCAUCUAUAGGGCUUCUAGGUCACUUGGAUAAUUUGACACCGGUGCAUGGUGUUUCGAACCGCAUAUCGUAAUUACCAUGUAAUGUUAUUUUGUAGUAUUUGAAGAAAUUGAUGAAGAUGUCAGACACAGAAUCAAAGCAAGCUAGAUGAAACAGCGUUAAGCAUCUAGUAAUGUUUUAUAUGACAAAAUGGUACCAUAGAUGAUAAAAAGAACAAGUUUUAUACAAUGGCAAUUAGAUUUGUUAUGUUGUAUCAUGCAGAAUAUUAACUAAAAAAAACUUGAUAUGUUUAACAGAUAAGUAUUGCAAAAAUAUAUAUGUUACA